GGGGAUUUAGCUCAGCGGCAUAAGCACCUGCCUUGCAAGCAGGCGGUGAGGAGUUCCGAUUCCCCG
rnacentral:tRNA from 1 species